rnacentral:rRNA from 1 species
AAAUCUAUUUGAUAGUACCUUCUACUUGGAUAUCCGUGGUAAUUCUAGAGCUAAUACAUGCUAAAAAUCCCGACUCACGAAGGGAUGUAUUUAUUAGAUAAAAAACCAAUGCCCUUCGGGGCUCUUUGGUGAUUCAUAAUAACUAAACGAAUCGCAUGGCCUUGCGCCGGCGAUGGUUCAUUCGAUCUUCAGCCCUAUCAACUUUCGAUGGUAGGAUAGAGGCCUACCAUGGUGUCGACGGGUAACGGGGAAUUAGGGUUCUAUUCCGGAGAGGGAGCCUGAGAAACGUGAGUUAACUAAUCUUCCAACUAAAUUUUCCUUUAAAAGGGCUAACUGAGAUGCAGGGCUACCACAUCCAAGGAAGGCAGCAGGCGCGCAAAUUACCCAAUUCCAAUUCGGAGAGGUAGUGACAAUACAUACUGAUGCGGUGCUCUUUUGGGCAUCGCAAUUGGAAUGAGAACAAUCUAAAUCCCUUAUCGAGGAACAAUUGGAGGGCAAGUCUGGUGGACAGCUGGCGCCAGACAGCCGGAGCACUCAGCUGUGAGUCGCUCUGACAGUGGGUGUAACAACCCGCGAGGAAUCCGGUACCGUGGACGCUCCAGCCGGAGCCGACACGGUGGCAGUCUUGACUGUCGAAAUUCACGCCAGGGUUCCGGUAGACUCCCAGCGGAUCUACUUGAGGUACGUGCUAAACUUCCCCCCUGGGGCGAAGAGUUAGUUGGCCAGCAGCCGCGGUAAUUCCAGCUCCAAUAGCGUAUAUUAAAGUUGUUGCAGUUAAAAAGCUCGUAGUUGAACUUUGGGUCAGGGCGUCCGGUCCGCCUCACCGCGAGUACUGGCUCGGCUGGAUCUU